rnacentral:tRNA from 1 species
GUCCCUGUAGCGCAGGGGAUAGCGAGCUGGACUUCUAAUUCAGAGGCCGUGAGUUCGAAUCUCACCAGGGAUG